UAGGUCCUCCUAAUCCUUUUGGAUACAAU
rnacentral:piRNA from 1 species